GCAUAUCAAUAAGCGGAGGAAAAGAAACCAACAGGGAUUGCCCUAGUAACGGCGAGUGAAGCGGCAACAGCUCAAAUUUGAAAUCUGGCUCUUUCAGAGUCCGAGUUGUAAUUUGCAGAGGGCGCUUUGGCAUCGGCAGCGGUCCAAGUUCUUUGGAACAGGACGUCACAGAGGGUGAGAAUCCCGUACGUGGUCGCUAGCCUUUGCCGUGUAAAGCCCCUUCGACGAGUCGAGUUGUUUGGGAAUGCAGCUCUAAAUGGGAGGUAAAUUUCUUCUAAAGCUAAAUACUGGCCAGAGACCGAUAGCGCACAAGUAGAGUGAUCGAAAGAUGAAAAGCACUUUGGAAAGAGAGUCAAACAGCACGUGAAAUUGUUGAAAGGGAAGCGCUUGCAGCCAGACUUGCCUGUAGUUGUUUACCUAGACUUUUGUCUGGGGCACUCUUCUGCAGGCAGGCCAGCAUCAGUUUGGGCGGUUGGAUAAAGGUCUCUGUCACGUACCUCUCUUCGGGGAGGCCUUAUAGGGGAGACGACAUACAACCAGCCUGGACUGAGGUCCGCGCAUCUGCUAGGAUGCUGGCGUAAUGGCUGUAAGCGGCCCGUCUUGAAACACGGACCAAGGAGUCUAACAUCUAUGCGAGUGUUUGGGUG
rnacentral:rRNA from 1 species